AUUGAACGCUGGCGGCAUGCCUUACACAUGCAAGUCGAACGGCAGCGGACCUUCGGGUGCCGGCGAGUGGCGAACGGGUGAGUAAUAUAUCGGAACGUACCUUUCAGUGGGGGAUAACGUAGCGAAAGUUACGCUAAUACCGCAUAUUCUGUGAGCAGGAAAGCAGGGGAUCGCAAGACCUUGCGCUGAUUGAGCGGCCGAUAUCAGAUUAGCUAGUUGGUGAGGUAAAGGCUCACCAAGGCGACGAUCUGUAGCGGGUCUGAGAGGAUGAUCCGCCACACUGGAACUGAGACACGGUCCAGACUCCUACGGGAGGCAGCAGUGGGGAAUUUUGGACAAUGGGCGCAAGCCUGAUCCAGCCAUGCCGCGUGAGUGAAGAAGGCCUGGUUGUAAAGACGUCUUUCGUCCGGGAAGGAAAGUACGCACAGGUUAAUACCCUAGUGUGGAUGACGGUACCGGAAGUAAGAAGACACCGGAC
rnacentral:rRNA from 1 species